CGAACAAGGACAUUGGCACAGAGAAUGUCCACAAAAUGCACCUCGUAGAGGAUGGGGGCGUGGACUGGCCAGACGAGGAAGGGGUGGCAACGCACAUUCCGAUUGACGUGAGGCGGAGGGGGAGGAGGCUGCAUGUGAGGGGGAGACGGCAACCAUGCUGAGGCCUCACAUGAUAAGGGAAGUAAAACACACACACACCGCAGCCUGCAAUGAAGAAACGCUUUCUGCACUAACUCCCUGCACGCACACUCACACUCACACUCACACUCACACACCGGAGCAACAACAAGCUCUCGUGGACAUCACAGAGCAAUUGAGAACACAACAAAAGCUUUCACUUAAACACACAUACGCAAAGUUUUCAGGAAAAUCAUUUGAAAAUAUGCCCACCACUAUGGUGCAAAUUCAAGGGAAACUUUUAUCGUUUUUGGUUGAUUCGGGGGCUACACAUUCUGUAAUACAACAAAAGUAUUUUCCAGGUCAGAAACUUAGUGGAAAACAGGUUUUCUCACAAGGAGCUUCAGGGAUGACUAUUGUAGAGAGAUUUAUGGCACCUAUGACCAGUACACACACUGACUCAACUGACCCUGAACCAGACAUCACAGUAAAACAUUCCUUUUUGCUGUCCUCUUGCUGUCCCAUUAAUCUAAUGGGCAGAGACCUCAUGUGUUCUUUCGGCAUUAGCCUCAUCUCCACUCCUACAAGUGGUUGCAAGUGGUGAGAUGCAGAGCCAUUGACCAGAUGGCAAAGACAGUUAUAAGUGAUCCAAUGUUUGUGUACCAGUGGUGGCUUCCGGUUGACUCACAAUCAGAAUUGUCCCACCUGGCAGCAUCACGCGUCCAGCCUGAGGCAGAGUGCAUGGAUGCUUCAUAUCUCCACUGCACAGCUCAUGUGUCACAUGGGCCAGAUCUCCUUGUCUAAAGCAGCAACAGACCAAUGGAGAGAUUUGGGACCCUUUGUCGCAGCGUGCGAGGCAUUGACAGAUUGGGAGGCUACACCAGAUCCACUUUUCUGUCCCAGACACCUUGUGGGCAGCGCAUAAAUAUGACGUGGGACUCAUCAAAAAAUGUCAACCUGUGGUCAUCACUCCUCGAUCAGACUUCCGUCCCCGCAAACAUCAAUACCCACUGCGCCAAGAGGCCAUUGACGGUAUAACACCGGUGUUCAACUCCCUCUUAAAGGCCGGAGUCAUUGUUCCAUGUCCUGACUCGCCGGUAAGAACACCUAUUUUUCCAGUUAAAAAGAUCAGAGAUGCAGGCAAACCAACUGAGUGGCGCUUCGUGCAGGACCUAAAAGCAGUUAAUGCAGCCGUCCACGCACGAGCCCCAAAUGUUCCCAACCCUUACACCAUUAUGGCACAGGUUCCACCUGAUGCUCGAUGGUUUUCCGUGGUUGACCUCUCAAAUGCUUUUUUCAGUGUCCCUGUGGACAUUGACAGUCAGUUUUGGUUUGCGUUUAAUUUCAAUG
ensembl:lncRNA